rnacentral:rRNA from 1 species
UGGGGAAUUUUGGACAAUGGGCGCAAGCCUGAUCCAGCCAUGCCGCGUGCAGGAUGAAGGCCUUCGGGUUGUAAACUGCUUUUGUACGGAACGAAAAGACUCUGGUUAAUACCUGGGGUCCAUGACGGUACCGUAAGAAUAAGCACCGGCUAACUACGUGCCAGCAGCCGCGGUAAUACGUAGGGUGCGAGCGUUAAUCGGAAUUUCUGGGCGUAAAGCGUGCGCAGGCGGUUAUGUAAGACAGAUGUGAAAUCCCCGGGCUCAACCUGGGAACUGCAUUUGAGACUGCAGAGCUAGAGUGCGGCAGAGGGGGAUAGAAUUCCGCGUGUAACAGUGAAAUGCGUAGAUAUGAGGAGGAACACCGAUGGCGAAGGCAAUCCCCUGGGCCUGUACUGACGCUCAUGCACGAAAGCGUGGAGAGCAAACA